rnacentral:lncRNA from 1 species
UGGAAAUCAGGCUGUUUAUGGACGAUUGUGAUAUGAUGCAGGGGAAGCACUGAAAUCAGACGUGUGAAAAGGAAAGAUUUACUAGAAACCUUAGAGAAAGAACUACCGAAAGGAACUAUUAGAUAUUCUUCUGAGCUCGUUUCCAUAGAGCAAUUGGGAAAUUUCAAAUUGGUGCACCUUGCAGAUGGUUCAGUUAUCAAAACCAAGGUAAAUUCGUGUUAUUUGAACAUAUAGCUUCCCAAUGUUUGUUUGUAAUCUGGUAUUUAUUGAUGCAUAAAUUGAUUAAUACGUAGAUCUUAUGCUUCAUUCUCGACCGACUAAUUAUAUUCUGAUCUUGUUUAAGGUCUUGAUUGGAUGUGAUGGAAUCAAUUCAAUCGUGGCAAAGUGGUUGGGACUUCAGAAUCCCGUUAAUGUUGGACGAUCAUCAAUUAGAGGCUUUCUUAGCUACCCCAAUGGCCAUGGCUUUGAGGCGAAGUUCCACGCAUAUUUUGGAGGAGGAAUUCGUUAUGGUUUUGUUCCUUGUGAUGACAAGAGCAUAUAUUGGUUUUGCACACUUACUCCAUCGAUUUUCAAUUGUAAGCAGUUUGACUUAUUGUUCCAAGUCUCAUGACAAAAGUUAAUACUUUCAGUAAAAUUUAAGCCUAGAAGUUGAAUACCAUAUGAAUAAAUUUUGCAUUGUAUUCAUUUAACGGAGUUUCUCCUCUCCAUUUACUGCAGAUGAUGAAAACGAGCAAAAUCCGCUCAAAAUGAAGCAAUUUGUAUUAAGCAAUAUUCAGAAUGCUCCGAAACAAGUAUCUGAUAUUGUAGAGAGAACCGAGCUUGAUUGCAUUUCUUAUUCUCCUCUAAAGUUUAGAUCACCAUGGAAUAUUCUACUUGGACAUAUUGUUCACAACAAUGUUUGUGUAGUUGGCGACGCCUUUCAUCCCAUGACACCAGAUAUUGGUCAAGGUGGGUGUUCAGCUUUAGAAGAUAGUGUCAUUCUUGCAAAAUGCCUUGCAGAAACUUUAUUGACAAAGGCAUCUGGCAACGAUAAAGAAGAUGGAGAAUAUGUGAAAAUGGAAAGGGGGCUGCAAAAGUAUGCAAAAGAGAGGAGAUGGAGAAGUUUUAGUCUUAUAAGCACGGCCUAUAUUGUUGGAAUGAUACAAGAGAGCAAUGGCAAGGUGAUCAGUUUCUUGAGGAAAUCCUUUUUGUCUAAAUAUACUGUUGGGAUUUUGAUGAGAAUGGCUGAUUUUGAUUGUGGGAAGCUAAAGAUUUCUUAAAAUAGCUUUAUUUUAUAUUAUGCACUAUUGUAAUAUAAAGCAAAACACGCAUGCCUUGCCCACCUGUUUAUAGAUCCCGGAGUUGAUAUACUUCCGCUUGUUUUCUCUUUCAUUCGAUAGAUAGAAGCUCGUAAUGAAAACUCUAUCAUUCUUUAUUGUUGUGGAAUCUCUAUAUUGUAUUUAUUGUUGAGAAAAUUGUACUGUUGAAGUGUGUUUUAACUUGGUUAUAUGCAAAUUUUUUAGUUAAAUAUCC